UACAGAGGGUGCAAGCGUUACUCGGAAUUACUGGGCGUAAAGCGCGCGUAGGUGGUUGUGUAAGUUGGAUGUGAAAGCCCCGGGCGUUAACCUGGGAACGUGCAUUCAAAACUAGCACGGCUAGAGUACGGGAGAGGGGGUAGGAAUUCCAGGUGUAGCGGUGAAAUAGCGUAGAGAUCUGGAGGAAUACCGAUGGCGAAGGCAGCCCCCUCGGCGU
rnacentral:rRNA from 1 species